CGCAACCCUUAUUGUCUAGUUACCAUCAUUCAGUUGGGGACGUCUAGCGAGACUGCCAGUGAUAAACUGGAGGAAGGUGGGGAGUGACGUCAAAUCAUCAUGCCCCUUAUGACCUGGGCUACAAACGUGAUACAAUGGCUGAAACAAAGGGCAGCGAAGCAGUGAUGUGGAGCGAAACCCAAAAAAGCAGUCUCAGUUCGGAUUGAAGUCUGCAACUCGACUUCAUGAAGUCGGAAUCGCUAGUAAUCGCGGAUCAGAACGCCGCGGUGAAUACGUUCUCGGGGUUU
rnacentral:rRNA from 1 species